rnacentral:rRNA from 1 species
CCUACGGGAGGCAGCAGUAGGGAAUCUUCGGCAAUGGACGAAAGUCUGACCGAGCAACGCCGCGUGAGUGAUGAAGGUUUUCGGAUCGUAAAGCUCUGUUGCCAGGGAAGAACGCUUGGGAGAGUAACUGCUCGCAAGGUGACGGUACCUGAGAAGAAAGCCCCGGCUAACUACGUGCCAGCAGCCGCGGUAAU